UUGUUUUGACAACACAUAUACUAAAAUCGGAACGAUACAGAGAAGAGUAGCACGGCUCCUGUGCAAGGAUGGCACACAAAUUUGGGAACCUUUCCAUAUUUAA